GAUGAACGCUGGCGGCGUGCCUAAUACAUGCAAGUCGAGCGAACAGAUGAGGAGCUUGCUCCUCUGACGUUAGCGGCGGACGGGUGAGUAACACGUGGAUAACCUACCUAUAAGACUGGGAUAACUUCGGGAAACCGGAGCUAAUACCGGAUAAUAUAUUGAACCGCAUGGUUCAAUAGUGAAAGACGGUUUUGCUGUCACUUAUAGAUGGAUCCGCGCCGCAUGAGCUAGUUGGUAAGGUAACGGCUUACCAAGGCAACGAUGCGUAGCCGACCUGAGAGGGGGGUAGGCGACAUGGGAACGUGGACAGGGUCCAGACUCCUACGGGAGGGCGCAGUAGGCAACCUUCCGCAAUGGGCGAAAGCCUGACGGAGCAACGCCGCGUGAGUGAUGAAGGUCUUCGGAUCGUAAAACUCUGUUAUUAGGGAAGAACAAAUGUGUAAGUAACUAUGCACGUCUUGACGGUACCUAAUCAGAAAGCCACGGCUAACUACGUG
rnacentral:rRNA from 1 species